rnacentral:tRNA from 5 species
GCAUCUGUAGCUCAGUGGAUAGAGCAAUGGCCUCCGGAGCCGUGUGCGUAGGUUCGAUUCCUAUCAGAUGCA